GUUUCCGUCGAUUAGUGGUCAGAUCAUCACGUUGUGGUGCGCUCGAAUACUUACACGUCUAGAGCACAGAACCGUGGAGACGAGGGCUCGACUCCCUCCGGAAACA